rnacentral:lncRNA from 1 species
GCUGUUGGUGGUGGCUGGUGAGGCGACAUGGGAAAGCACGAAGGCAUCGUCGAGGCAGAAGACACACUAUAUAGUUGUCCACCACUGCUCACCUCGACAGCUUGGACGCCUCUGCUGCACCGCCGGAGACACAGGAUGAAGCCAAGGUGAGGCAAAAUAUAUGGAGGAAGCAUAUAGACACAGUAACAUAGAUAUGAAUAGUACUAACCAAGCAUAUACGUAUCAUACAGGAUGCUGCAAGGUAUAUCUUUUCAGAUGAAAAUAGUUGCAGAACCACUCUAACCUUGACAUGACACCCACGAACAGAUCUCAUACUCAUUGCCCCGUGAACCGUAUGAAUAAAAAAUAAUAAGGAUGAUCAGUAGUCACCAACAAUUUGCAAUAAUAAAAAUCUAUGAUUUUGAUGCAUAUAUCACUAUAUCAGAGGCCCCAAGUAUUAAGCUGGAUUAACAUUCAAACUUCAGUAAUUUUACACUUCUGGCUGUUCUAAUGAGAAAGCGGAAUUCCAUAGAACAUAUAAGGCAUAUACUAACCUGCAGUUGGACGGAAGUUUAAUUCUAGUUCCAUCUUCUCAAUGUAUUUAUCUGCACAUCAAGAAUCCAACUGUCCAAAUUUGCAUCCAUGCAUCAUGAAGGCUAAUCGCAUCAGAACUCAAAGAAAAAGUAUUUUCUGAAGAACAGAUGGGAUUUAGUGAGAAGUAGACCAAAUCUUCUGGACCUGGCUAAUCACAUCUGAAUUUAUACAAAGAUGAAAAGAUUAUCCGUUCACUUAUUUCUCCUACGGAAAGGAGCAUCGAUGGUUUUAUGUGUGCUUCC